rnacentral:rRNA from 1 species
GCGAUCAGAUACCGCCCUAGUUCUGACCGUAAACGAUGCCGACUAGCGAUCCGCCAGUCGACUCAUCGCUCUGGUGGGGAGCUUCCCGGAAACGAAAGUCUUCCGGUUCCGGGGGAAGUAUGGUUGCAAAGCUGAAACUUAAAGGAAUUGACGGAAGGGCACCACCAGGAGUGGAGCCUGCGGCUUAAUUUGACUCAACACGGGGAAACUCACCCGGCCCGGACACCGUAAGGAUUGACAGAUUGAUAGCUUUUUCAUGAUUCGGUGGAUGGUGGUGCAUGGCCGUUCUUAGUUCGUGGAGCGAUUUGUCUGGUUUAUUCCGAUAACGAGCGAGACUCUGGCCUACUAAAUAGUUGACGCAUUGCCACUGUGCGCACAACUUCUUAGGGGGAUUUUCGGUGUUUUCAACCGCACGAAAUUGAGCAAUAACAGGUCUGUGAUGCCCUUAGAUGUCCGGGGCUGCACGCGCACUACACUGGCAAAAUCAGCGUGCUUGUCCUCCCCCGAAAGGGGUUGGUAAACCGAUGAAAAUUUGCCGUGAUUGGGAUCGGACAUUGCAAUUAUUGUCCGUGAACGAGGAAUCCCUUGUAAGGGCGAGUCAUCAACUCGUCCUGAAUACGCCCCUGC